rnacentral:rRNA from 1 species
AUUGAACGCUGGCGGCAUGCUUUACACAUGCAAGUCGAACGGUAACAGGGUGCUUGCACCGCUGACGAGUGGCGAACGGGUGAGUAAUGCGUCGGAACGCACCGAGUAAUGGGGGAUAACGCAGCGAAAGCUGUGCUAAUACCGCAUACGCUCUGAGGAGGAAAGCGGGGGACCUUCGGGCCUCGCGUUAUUCGAGCGGCCGACGUCUGAUUAGCUAGUAGGUGAGGUAAGAGCUCACCUAGGCGACGAUCAGGAGGGGGUCUGAGAGGAUGAUCCGCCACACUGGGACUGAGACACGGCCCAGACUCCUACGGGAGGCAGCAGUGGGGAAUUUUGGACAAUGGGCGCAAGCCUGAUCCAGCCAUGCCGCGUGUCUGAAGAAGGCCUUCGGGUUGUAAAGGACUUUUGUCAGGGAGGAAAUCCUUAGCGCUAAUACCGUUGAGGGAUGACAGUACCUGAAGAAUAAGCACCGGCUAACUACGUGCCAGCCGCCGCCGUAAUAC